GUGGAUUAGAUACCCUGGUAGUCCACGCUGUAAACGAUGAAUACUAGGUGUUGGGGGCUAAGCCCUCAGUGCCGCAGUUAACACAUUAAGUAUUCCGCCUGGGGAGUACGAUCGCAAGAUUAAAACUCAAAGGAAUUGACGGGGGCCCGCACAAGCAGCGGAGCAUGUGGUUUAAUUCGAAGCAACGCGAAGAACCUUACCAAGGCUUGACAUCCUAGGAAUCCGAAAGAGAUUUUGGAGUGCCCUUCGGGGAACCUAGAGACAGGUGGUGCACGGCCGUCGACAGCU
rnacentral:rRNA from 1 species